GUGAACGCUGGCGGUAGGCCUAACACAUGCAAGUCGAACGGCAGCACAGUAAGAGCUUGCUCUUACGGGUGGCGAGUGGCGGACGGGUGAGGAAUACAUCGGAAUCUACUUUUUCGUGGGGGAUAACGUAGGGAAACUUACGCUAAUACCGCAUACGACCUACGGGUGAAAGCAGGGGAUCUUCGGACCUUGCGCGAUUGAAUGAGCCGAUGUCGGAUUAGCUAGUUGGCGGGGUAAAGGCCCACCAAGGCGACGAUCCGUAGCUGGUCUGAGAGGAUGAUGAGCCACACGGGAAGUGAGACACGGUCCAGCCGCAAACGGGAGGCAGCAGUGGGGAAUAUUGGACAAUGGGCGCAAGCCUGAUCAAGCCAUACCGCGUGGGUGAAGAAGGCCUUCGGGUUCUAAAGCUCUUUUGUUGGGAAAGAAAAGAAGCAGGUUAAUACCCCGCUGUUCUGACGCUACCCAAAGAAUAAGCACCGGCUAACUUCGUG
rnacentral:rRNA from 1 species